rnacentral:rRNA from 1 species
UAUUUCUCAUCCUAAACACAAUGGAGUUUUUUCUCUAUGAACUACUUCCCUGGAGAGCUCGUCUCUCCAGUGGACAUAAACACAAACAAUAUUUUGUAUUAUGAAAAACUAUUAUACUAUAAAAUUUAAUAUUCAAAACUUUCAACAACGGAUCUCUUGGUUCUCGCAUCGAUGAAGAACGCAGCGAAUUGCGAUAUGUAUUGUGAAUUGCAGAUUUUCGUGAAUCAUCAAAUCUUUGAACGCACAUUGCGCCCUCUGGUAUUCCAGGGGGCAUGCCUGUUUGAGCGUCAUUUCUCUCUCAAACCUUUGGGUUUGGUAGUGAGUGAUACUCGUCUCGGGUUAACUUGAAAGUGGCUAGCCGUUGCCAUCUGCGUGAGCAGGGCUGCGUGUCAAGUCUAUGGACUCGACUCUUGCACAUCUACGUCUU